rnacentral:rRNA from 1 species
UACGAAGGGGGCUAGCGUUGCUCGGAAUCACUGGGCGUAAAGCGCACGUAGGCGGCUUGUUAAGUCAGGGGUGAAAUCCUGGAGCUCAACUCCAGAACUGCCUUUGAUACUGGCGAGCUUGAGUUCGGGAGAGGUGAGUGGAACUGCGAGUGUAGAGGUGAAAUUCGUAGAUAUUCGCAAGAACACCAGUGGCGAAGGCGGCUGACUGGUCCGGUUCGUGACGCUGAGGCGCGAAAGCGUGGGGAGCAACAGG